GAUGAACGCUGGCGGCGUGCCUAAUACAUGCAAGUCGAGCGAACAGACGAGGAGCUUGCUCCUCUGACGUUAGCGGCGGACGGGUGAGUAACACGUGGAUAACCUACCUAUAAGACUGGGAUAACUUCGGGAAACCGGAGCUAAUACCGGAUAAUAUAUUGAACCGCAUGGUUCAAUAGUGAAAGACGGUUUUGCUGUCACUUAUAGAUGGAUCCGCGCCGCAUUAGCUAGUUGGUAAGGUAACGGCUUACCAAGGCAACGAUGCGUAGCCGACCUGAGAGGCGGGCAGGCCACCUGAGAGGGGGGACGGGGUCCAGGGGACUACGGGACGGAGCAGAAGCGAAUGGGAGGCAGUGGGCGAGAACAUGACAGAGGAAGGCAGAGCGGGAUAUAAAGAUCCUGGGUGCGGAAAGACGGGUUAGGGGGUAUAAACAAAUUUCGAAGGAAAUGAGGCGGUAGUGACGGUACCUGAAGAAGAAGCACCGGCUAACUACGUG
rnacentral:rRNA from 1 species